rnacentral:rRNA from 1 species
UACGGGGGGGGUAAGCGUUGUUCGGAAUUACUGGGCGUAAAGGCUCGUAGGCGGCCAACUAAGUCAGACGUGAAAUCCCUCAGCUUAACUGGGGAACUGCGUCUGAUACUGGAUGGCUUGGAUUCGGGAGAGGAAUGCGGAAUUCCAGGUGUAGCGGUGAAAUGCGUAGAUAUCUGGAGGAACACCGGUGGCGAAGGCGGCAUUCUGGACCGACAUUGACGCUGAGGAGCGAAAGCCAGGGGAGCAAAGCGGG